UAUUUUUUAUAAGGGGGAUAGGGUGAAACCCUAGCCACCCCCUACUACCUCACCCCUCUACGCCCCUUCACCCUUUUACGUCGGGUCAAAUCGCCAUUCACUGUGCGCCACCAAUGCUGUGACGUCGUCGGGGUGGUUGAGAAGAGGACGAAGCAAUAAAAGCUUCGUCCUUUUUCUCGUAUUUUGCUCGAAAUUCGUUCAAACGGCCCCUAUAAGAGGGGACCUUUCUCAAAUUCACGUUUGGUCUCGGGCGUGCCCACAAAAGGUAAUACUCAUUUUGUUUAUUACUCUUCUUUAAAUUUCUAAUAAUUUUUGCUUCAUUGGUUGUUUUGAUUGGUUUGUUGUUAGCAGUAGAUAGUUGUUCCAACUUUAGUUGUCAUGAUAACAUCCCUUAGUUAACUGAAGUUUGGUGUUGUUAGGAUAAUGUAGGUAAUAAGUUAGUACUGUUAUGUUGGUUUUUUUUUUUUUUGGAUAUGGAGUAUGCAGUACUUGAGAUAAAAAUGAUUAAAUAACAAACUAGUCAUGCUAAUUUGUUGAUUGAAUGGUUGACUAAAUUAUGUUAUGACAUUACUUUGCCUUGAUGGAGUUCAAUUAUGCCGAUAAAGGGAGUCUAGUUCCAUAUCAUGGGUGGGUUGUCUGUUUUCUCUGAAUCUUGGAUCCAAAAAUGAAUCAUGCUCGGUUAGAUGUUGGCUGAUGUUUGUUUGAUAAUGGUAUGGGAUGGGUAGCAUAACAGGUUAAUAGGAAAGGAAAUGGCUAAUUGCAUUGGUUGAUUGUGAAGAAAUGUGAAACAAGCUUGUAGUUGAUAAUCUUGUGGAAAGAUAGUCCCAGCUUGAUCCUUGGUGGUUCAUGUCAUCCUAUUGGUAGUACCAUGUGUUGUGUAGUCUUAUGUUGCCUAUUUUCUAAUCCUGAUGGAGCAUGUUAGAUUAAAAUGGUCAUAAGGGUAAAUAAUUUGGUCCUGUGUUGAUGUUUGUCCUUGUCUACAGUAUGAGUCCUACUUGUUGUUGGUAGGGGAAAGGUUAUUUGAAUGAGAGUGAUUCUGAAAAAGUGAGGUGUGGUAUAUCUUAUCUGGUUUUUCUGAUUUUAUGAAUUAUGUGAGUCCUUCCACUUAAAAUUUGAUCAUUUACAUCUAUAUGUUUGCCUCCUAUCUAGAAAUCCCUAUUUGUUUGCUUGAGUUGUCUUCAUCCUGUAUACCAUUGUUGCCAGUUAUGAUCUCUUGUGAGAGUGCAAACCAGACCCCUCAUUUCUUUCUGAGCAUAUGUGUUUGGCCUAGAGUAGUUUGCCUCCCUUGUGAUAAGUGAACCCUGCAUGCUCUCCCUCCUUCUUCUCUGUGCUUCUUCUUGUUUUCUCCCAACUUGCCCUCUGAAUUUGUAUGAACUAGAGUUGAACAUAUACCUUGGCACUUCAUUUGAUUGGACUUGAACCACACAUAUGCAUGGCCUGCUUCAAACUCUAAAUUGUCUCUUAAUCCAUGUCCUGCUUGAUUGCUGCCUUGAAUGCCAUUUCUUAAGAUAAUGAGACUGUAAUAGCUUCCUCUUCUCACUGUAGUUUGAAGCAUGAAUCACCUAAGACUUGUGAGACCUUUCCUAUUUUUCUAGCCACCCACCUGUGCCAAAUAGAUCAAUAUAGUUAAUUCAAUGUGCCAAGUUGCCUCUCUAAUGUUACCUAUGCACUAUGACUCAUAUUCCUUGCUUGGUUGAUUGUGCUCUUGUCCUUUGGGGCAUGUACUGCCCUGCUAGUCCUAUAAUCAUCCUAUAGUUUAAUUUUGUGAUCAAUUCUUAGUCUUACAACCCUUCUAGAUCAUACUAUCAUAGCAUUCCCUCCAUAUACUUGGUCUCUCCCUAUACUUGCUUAUUAGUUCAUCAUGCAUGUCUGUUUCAGUAUCAUCAUGACUAGUCCAUCCUUUUUUGAACACCAUGUUAGCUUUAUCAUGACUUGCUUCUGACCUCUAUGUAUGUCACUACUUGCAUUAUUCCUACACUGCUCUGAUUAAUCCCCUCUGCGUUACUGUUAUCAUGUAUUCCUUGCCUGUUAUCCUGCAUCUCAUCAUGAACACCCCUCUCAUCUGUUUGUAUGCCUCAUCAUAGUUCACAGCCUGCUCGUAUCCAUGUGCAUUAAUUAUCCUUGCCUUUUCGUGUCCUCCCAUGUAUAAUCCCGUGUCUCCUCUACUCCCUCUCCUAGCAUUUUAGCUUGCCUACUCAUGCAUACUUACUUAUUUGUGCAAUACCUCAUCUAAAAUAACUCUCAACAUGCAUUUAGUCACCUACAUAGUACUUUGCCAAGCCUUUCUACUGUUUCAACCCAGGUGCAGACUAGUUAGUAAGCAUGUCCCUUUCAUCCCUUGUUAAAUAGGAUGUCUAUGUAAGUUAAUCACUAUGUUUACUGUCCUGCAUCCCAUGUGCACCUCUUGACUGAAAUCAGCCUUGUUUUCUCCUUGAACUGUCACACUGCUUGAAGCAUCUUAGCAUACCUGACAUAUCUAUUGUUGCAUCAUGUAUGUAAUCAUCCAUGUCUUGUGUGUCCCCUCACUAAGUUCCUGUCACUUGUUGAUAAGAUAUCCAUGCUCCAUGAUCAUUGAGUGAUUGCCUGAAUUGCUUAAGUGUAUGAUCUUUCUCUGGAAACCUCACCAUCAAUUCUAUUAAUCUGAAUCCCUGUCCCAAUCUCCCUCAUAGCAUGUCAUGAUCCUAUAUCUCUGUAAUCUGAUUCAUAUUGCCCAUGUGUGCCUAUUAAGUGUUGAACUCAUGACCAUGAUGCAUGCCUUUGCUGAUGUUAACCUCCUUUGAUAAACUUUCUGUUUUGCCCUGCUUUGUCUAAGGCUUCUCUUUUGAACAAAAUAGUUGGUUGAUCUCUGGUCCUUGAGAUAACACUUUGCUUAAGCCACCAUCAUGUCCCUACCCCUAUUUAUGUGUGAUCCUGCCCAGAUUUCCCUUAUAAUGUGAUCAAUUGUUGUUGUUCCAACAUACAUAAUUGGCUACAUCAAUUUUCCUAAAACAAAGUUUAAUGUCACUCGUCUGUGUUUAUAAAAUUUGCCUAAAAGCAGUCUUGUAUGCUUCUUGAUUCUAUGAAGACAUGACCAUUAAAUGGGCCUGAGUUACUCCCUUUCUUGUGUUGAUCCUACUUCACCUAUAUUGCUAUAUUAUCAGUAGUCUUUGCUUCUUUUAAAUCUGCUGUGAAAUGCUUAUCAUAUUCUCAUCUUUUGCCUUGAUUGAUCUGCUGAAUAUUGCCUGAUUACUUCAUGAUUAUGCCUUACAUAUAUCUCCUGUAUUCUGGCUAGUGUUGUUGCUUUGCUAUAUGUGAGCUUAGUUGGUCCCUUUUGAGUCUAAAAAGUCCUAUACUCUCUACUGCCUUACUUGGGGUCUAUUAGUUCUGAGAUGAGUCAUGGUAGUUUGGGGUUGUCUGACCAUUUCCCGGUGUUAGCCAUGCCUGAGGUUCUUAAAAACCCCUUGGAACUUGUGCCACAUCGGGUAUAUGGGGUAGGGACCAAGUCCUCAUACCAUGUCGAGUCUCAAACUAGUAAAAUUCCAUUUUUGAGACUGGUAUGGGGAAAGUAUAGACUUUAUAUGAUCUUGUUUGAUAUGUGCACAUGUAUAUAUAGUUGAUUAUUAUAGUGAUAAGUUCAGUGAUUAUAAACUAACCGGUGUCUUUCCUUUUUUCCUCCUCCUCCUUGCAUGACCAUUUGGGUCCAAACCAAGCCCACCCAUUGGGCCUAAGUCCCAAAUGGGAAUAUUACUUGAAAAUAGAGUCUGGGAAGACAAAGAAGAUAGCGAGGCACGCAGAAGGCCCAACAAUGGGUGAAAAUGGCCAACUAGGGGCUUGGUACGCCCCUAGUCUAACUUAGCCCUUUUAAUUCAUCAGUUGUAUUCAUUGUUGUAUUUGUAUUCAACACCCAUAUAUAGUGGUAACUUAUGGUUGGAA